rnacentral:lncRNA from 1 species
AUGCCUUUGCUGGUGUGAUCUUCUUCAGCCCAGCGGCGGUUCCCACAGCACAUUACUGAUUCCCAGCAGCAGCACCAGAUCAGUUCACGAUUAAGUCGUCGCGUAUGACGAGUUAUCCCCGUUAGCUUACAAAAUAUCUUCAUGCAAUCUGCACAUUACUGGUCAAGUAGCCCUUUUUUUCUUUUUUUCUUUUUAAUAAUAUCCUCCUGGUGCUCCAGUAAUGUUGGUCAUGUUCUUGGCCUUUCGUUGAUUUCUCGGAAUUUGUAAUAUGGAAUUAUGGAUUCAACUGUUAAAUUUUUGUAUACAUAGAUUCACUAAUUGACUAUUCCACGGUCAGUGACUGUAAGAAAGAAAAAUAAACAAAAGGAUCACGGAGAAUCAGAGGAAGUGGUAGUGGUGGUUUGCGGUGGUUUUUGGAAUUGAGGUGGCUGAGAUCGGUCGGUUUUGAUUUUGGAGUUGGGUAACGGCGUGGUGGAGUUUGAGGUGGCUCAUGGUUGUUGAAGGGAGGGUGGUGGCGUCGACGUUUGCAGGAGCGGAAGAUGUAAAU